CCAGGACAAGGAUUUUUUUGUUCCUUCUGGCAAAAACACAGUAAGAUCUGAUGAUGUGCUGCCAUGGAGUACAACAGUAGCAGUGACUCUCCCCUUCCCUGGAGUAAGGGACAAGGAGAGGUCACAAAAGGAAUUGUUUGGCUUUGCUACAUGUCCACCACAUAUGAUAAAAUGUCCUCGCAUGGCUCUUACACUUCCAGCAAUCUCCAGAGUAAUUACUGUCCAUUUUUGCAGUCAUCAUUGUCACAGAACUGUCAUCUGCAGCUGCAGCCGAACGGAUGUGAUGUCACGACCUGAGCACAUACCCUUGAAAUAGCCGUUAUUUAAAACAGCUGCUUUAAAAACAACAAAAGAGUGUUCCUUCCAUGGUGUACCUUUCAAAAUAAGCGGGGGGGGGCAUGGUUAUUAAUAUGGAAAAUAUAAUCCAUGUCCAUGCACAAUCUUGACAAACAUUUUAGCAUCCUACCAUUGCUAACUAAAGCGAUUCUGCUAAAUGUCAGCAUCUUGAAAGAUUUGUUCCUCUUAACGUUUUCUUCUUCCUCUUUCUCUCUUUCUCUCUCCAGCUCGGGGCGGGGAGUUGGGGGGAGACAUGUCUUGUGACACAUGCUCCCUUAUUCAAAAGGAAAUGUAAACAACUGAUCUCGGACAGUUUCAAUUAGACAUGGGACUGAGCCACAUUGUCUGGGUAUGAACUUUUCCAGUGCUAAGGGAGCUGUUGGAAUGGAAUCUAAGCCUUUGGGAUAGGUCCAUCCUGGGAUAUCAUGGCCAGGCAAAAUAUUCCUAUCAGGAAACAGACUUCUCAUUCUGAUGCUGCAUGGAAUACAG